rnacentral:lncRNA from 1 species
CCUGUGUGUGAGUGUUAGUAUGUGUGUGUGUGUGUGUGUGUGUGUGUGUGUGUGUGUGUGUGUGUGUGUGUGUGUGUGUGUGUGUGUGUGUGUGUGUGUGUGUGUGUGUGUGUGUGUGUGUGUGUGUGUGAAGGUGUCUAAAGCUUGAAUCAUCAACAUCAUUUGAUUUGAAACAAUGGCUGUGAACGAUGCCAGUUCAGAUCAUCGUAAGUUCCAUGAUUCACCAGGAGAUGUGGAUGGAAGACAAACUGCAGGCUCACCGACUGUCAGGUGUGAAGAUCUGGAUAAAGGAUGAUUCCUACAAUGCAGAAUCUCCAAGAAAAGCCAGUAUUACCUCUGCCAAGGAGGUAUUACUUUCACCGGCGUUAAUUGAUUUCAUUUUUUGUCUAUUAGCAGUAAAAAUACUUUCACUCUAUUACUUUUUUCCCACCUUCUUACCAGUAUAUGAAUAUAACUAAUCUGGAACGGGCAUGUCAGAGAGCACAAAAAGUACAACUUCCUGUUCGCGCACCGGUUGAAGGCGGGGACCAACAUGGCUACCUCAGCAGUGACCGUUGAUGAGGACAAAGACGUCACCACACCAAUAUUAUCUCCUUAGGUAGAAGGUAACAGACCUCGUGGUCAUACCUGUCAAUAAUGCUGUUGAGCUUGUUUCCCACGAGUGGUCCUCUUUUAGCCUUGUAACACAGGCCGAUGUCUCAUCUAUGGUAACCAAAAUGAAGCCCUCUUUCUGUGUGUCUGAUGUUCUGCCCUGUAGAUUUUUUGUAAAAGUCUUUGAUGCCAUUGGCCCCUGGGUUACCAAUCUGAUCAACCUUUCCCUGUCAACUGGUGUUUUCCCCAGUUCUUUCAAACACGCAACUGUAGAACCACUUCUCAAAAAGCCCAAUCUGGACCCAGCAGAUUUAAAAAACUUCAGGCC